AACUGAAGAGUUUGAUCAUGGCUCAGAUUGAACGCUGGCGGCAGGCUUAACACAUGCAAGUCGAGCGGGGGAAGGUAGCUUGCUACUGGACCUAGCGGCGGACGGGUGAGUAAUGCUUAGGAAUCUGCCUAUUAGUGGGGGACAACAUCUCGAAAGGGAUGCUAAUACCGCAUACGUCCUACGGGAGAAAGCAGGGGAUCUUCGGACCUUGCGCUAAUAGAUGAGCCUAAGUCGGAUUAGCUAGUUGGUGGGGUAAAGGCCUACCAAGGCGACGAUCUGUAGCGGGUCUGAGAGGAUGAUCCGCCACACUGGGACUGAGACACGGCCCAGACUCCUACGGGAGGCAGCAGUGGGGAAUAUUGGACAAUGGGGGGAACCCUGAUCCAGCCAUGCCGCGUGUGUGAAGAAGGCCUUAUGGUUGUAAAGCACU
rnacentral:rRNA from 1 species